AAGUCGUAACAAGGUUUGAACCGGAAGGAUCAUUAACACGUAUCCAAACGUUAAAACCCCCCCCGUGAACUUUUAUCCUGCUCUUGUAACCGCGUCGGAAAGUGUCAUUGAUUGUGCAAGGAUAGCGCUUCUACGAUUCCUGUAGACCGUACACUCGGGCAGGAGCUUUGCCAAAGAGUCCCCAUGCCCCUUAAUAACCCCACAGUUUAAUGUGAAGCUCAAUGUAAUACAUUGGGUAAAAAAACCGAACAACUGUUAACAAUGGAUAUCUUGGUUCUC
rnacentral:misc_RNA from 1 species